rnacentral:ncRNA from 1 species
GAGCAACUUAGGAUUUUAGGCUCGCCGCCCUUUUUUGAAAAAGGGGCGGUCACACCGUCGGGAACUGGCAGGGCCGGGCGGUCAAAAUCUAACUGCCGGAG